GGCACUAUGGCCGAGUGGUUAAGGCGAAAGAUUAGAAAUCUUUUGGGCUUUGCCCGCGCAGGUUCGAGUCCUGCAGUUGUCG
rnacentral:tRNA from 1 species